UGGGCAGGGGGUUUGGACUAGAUGACCUACAAGGUCCCUUCCAACUCUGUUAAUCUGCUAAAGAAGACAGAUGAGAUUUGCCCAUCAGGCUAAUCCUUAUUUGGCUUUGGCAUGGGUGCCAUUAUGGCUUGUAAAACAUAGUUUAUCCCUUAGAAAAACCUGCAAUUCCAUCUAGGGUUCAUUCAACAAAGCAAAGUUAUACAAACAAGGACUCCGCUGACAGAAGAGCCAUUUUCCAACUGGUUUGUAGAUAAUGCAUGGUCUGCAAACUCAAGCGCAAGAAUGCAAUACAUCAGACAAAUUGUGUGACCCUCAUCGGAUAUGGUUUAGAAUCCAGAAAAGGAUGUCUGGAAUAUUUGUUAGCAACACCUGAAAAAUAUUUUGAUUAGAGGGAGAAGGGAAGAAUUAAUUAAGCAACCUAUCUGGUCAGUGAUUUCCCUUGUUCCCAAGUUACAAAAGGUAGACAUUUACAAACUUCCA